rnacentral:pre_miRNA from 1 species
AUCACCCAGGGAUCUUAUUAAAAUGCAGAUUCUGACUGAGUCAAUCUUGAGCUGGGCUAAGAUUCUGCAUUUCUGACAAGCUCCUAGGCGAUGCCAA